CCUACGGGUGGCUGCAGUGGGGAAUAUUGCACAAUGGGCGCAAGCCUGAUGCAGCCAUGCCGCGUGUGUGAAGAAGGCCUUCGGGUUGUAAAGCACUUUCAGCGGGGAGGAAGGCGGUGAGGUUAAUAACCUCAUCGAUUGACGUUACCCGCAGAAGAAGCACCGGCUAACUCCGUGCCAGCAGCCGCGGUAAUACGGGGGUGCAAGCGUUAAUCGGAAUUACUGGGCGUAAAGCGCACGCAGGCGGUCUGUCAAGUCGGAUGUGAAAUCCCCGGGCUCAACCUGGGAACUGCAUUCGAAACUGGAAGGCUAGAGUCUUGUAGAGGGGGGUAGAAUUCCAGGUGUAGCGGUGAAAUGCGUAGAGAUCUGGAGGAAUACCGGUGGCGAAGGCGGCCCCCUGGACAAAGACUGACGCUCAGGUGCGAAAGCGUGGGGAGCAAACAGGAUUAGAUACCCUGGUAGUC
rnacentral:rRNA from 1 species